rnacentral:rRNA from 1 species
UACGGAGGGUGCGAGCGUUGUCCGGAAUCACUGGGCGUAAAGGGCGCGUAGGCGGCCUGAUAAGUAGGGGGUGAAAUCCUGCGGCUUAACCGCAGGGCUGCCUUCUAAACUGUCAGGCUUGAGCACAGUAGAGGCAGGUGGAAUUCCCGGUGUAGUGGUGGAAUGCGUAGAUAUCGGGAGGAACACCAGUGGCGAAGGCGGCUUCCUGGCGCGAUUCUGACGCUGAGGUGCGAAAGCGUGGGGAGCGAUCCGG